rnacentral:rRNA from 1 species
GAGUUUGAUCCUGGCUCAGGAUGAACGCUGGCGGCGUGCUUAACACAUGCAAGUCGAACGGGGUUAUCAUUUUUGAAGCGAUUAGCUUGCUAAGAGUGGAAAAGUUGAUAACUUAGUGGCGGACGGGUGAGUAACGCGUGGGUAACCUGCCUUACACAGGGGGAUAACACUUAGAAAUAGGUGCUAAUACCGCAUAAGCGCACAGUCCCGCAUGGGACAGAGUGAAAAACAUUAGUGGUGUAAGAUGGACCCGCGUCUGAUUAGCUUGUUGGCGGGGUAACGGCCCACCAAGGCGACGAUCAGUAGCCGGCCUGAGAGGGUGGACGGCCACAUUGGGACUGAGACACGGCCCAAACUCCUACGGGAGGCAGCAGUGGGGGAUAGUGGACAAUGGGGGAAACCCUGAUCCAGCGACGCCGCGUGAG